AGGAGUGGUGGCGCGCAAGUGAAGAUAGAUCAGAUACUUUAACCUCAUGUAACAUUGCCUUCAAAUGCAGCAAGUUUAACGAUCUUAUUGCUUCCUGUGAUAAAAUCUUAUCAUUAUAAUUAUCCAAGAACAAAGUUGCUUCCGGACACCGCGUAUAUUUCUCAGUGCAUAUAUACGCGUAAUUGGUCAUUAAAGAAAGUCAGUCUGAGCAAGAUGGCCGGCCGGAUGAGUUCGGCCUUUCGUUAUUCCGCGAUUGUUUUACAUUUGACAUUAUUAACAAGUUUGAAUAAUGGACUGAGGUACGGUGACAAGGCGACCACACUUCACAUCGUCGAGGACGACCAUCCGUUCAAAGGCAGACAGCCAGUUGUCAUCAAUCGGGACGAGCAUUUGCACGAUGAUGAUGCCAGCGAAACGUCAUCGAGUCGAAGUCGCAGAGAUGUUCCUCCAGAACAUCCGGCAAAUGAUCCACACAUCGUAACGAAGGUUAAUGCUUUAAAUGAUUCUCAUCAGCAAUUGAUGGUGCACUGGGUCGGAGAUGGAUCUAAUGUAAUAAUAUGCUUAGCAAGGGAUAAUUUGCAAAUACUGCGACAUCAGGGAAGUAAAUUCACCAACGUUCCCAUUCCCAGUGCUGUUUAUAUAAGUUAUGAUUAUGGAGAUACAUUUAUAAACAAAACUGAACACUUUAGAGUCUCUUCCGAGCCCAAUGCAGAAUAUGCAACAUUGGAUAAGUUUAUGAACCAUCCAAAAUAUUAUAUAUAUUGUAUUUUUGUGGACAGUGCGAAUAAGUUACUUUUUCUUACACCCAACAAUGGAGAGAUUAUUCAAAGGGUUGCACUUCCAUUUAAUCCAAGUGAAAUUUCCUUUUCUGAGACAGACCCUAGAGCUCUUCUUGCUCUUGAUAAAAAAGAUCCAGAACGCAAAUUAUGGUUAUCGAUGAACAUGGGAAUCACUUGGGUUCCAAUAUGUCUCUAUGUGAAAGCAUUCUUUUGGUCGUCUUCGCCUGUAGUAGUAAUCGAACGAAUGUCGCCUUCUGGAUCAAAUACCGUUUUAGAAUUACCGUGGACACACAUUAUCGAUAGAUUGCUCAAGGUUGGACCAGAUAAGGGAUCAUUAAACGAAUCAUUGACAGUUGUGAUGACAAAUGUUGAAGAUUUUCAGAUGAAAGGUGAUUAUAGAUUCGCAACGUCGAAAGAUACAAAGAGUGAACACGAGAAUCUGGAUCUGUACGUGUCUUACAAGAAUAAUAGUUUCGUGAAGGCGGAAUUUAGUACGGACUUGCCUCGUAAAAAUUACCACAUUGUCGACGUUUCCUAUAAUAGGAUCUUUGUCACAGUUGCUCAUAACGAAACUCAAGUAAACCUGUAUGUAUCAGAGAUUAUAGACGAAAAACGAGCAACGUUCGUCUUAUCACUCGAAGGAAUUAUGACGUUCUUCCCCAACAGUACCUGGAAAGACAGUUGGUUAAAUGACGUGGCCGACGACACGUUUACUGACCUGUACAAAGUGGAGGGUCUUCGAGGUAUCUACAUAGUGUCUCAAGUAAAGGGCACACCCAAAUCAGGCACAAUCGGACCAGAGCAUUUAGUGUCAUUGAUAACAUUCGAUCACGGUUCGACAUGGAAUCCCAUCAGUACACCGACUGCAAAUCACGAAGGAUUUUAUAUACAUUGCAUGAAAAAUUGUUCGUUGCACUUAAGUCAACGUUUCAGUCAGUUGUACCCUGUGACUAGAUCUGUGUCAAUCAUGAGUUCAAAGUCGGCACCGGGUAUUAUAAUGGCCACUGGUGUUAUAGGAUCGAGUCUGAAGGGUCAUCCUGCACUCUACGUGUCCAGAGACGCUGGAAUAACGUGGAAACAGGUUCUGAAGGAUUAUUACUUCUUUAACAUGGGCGACCAUGGUGGUUUAUUGGUAGCCGUGAAGUAUUUUAAAUCGCGCGGUGAAACAAGAGAUCUUUCUUAUUCUAUUGAUGAAGGCGAGAAUUGGCAAACGUAUACAUUCAACGAGAAAAUGUUGAGGGUGUAUGGAUUAAUGACCGAGCCGGGUGAGAACACUACGGUAUUCACGAUGUUCGGCUCGGACAGUGGUCAGCAUCAGUGGCUUAUAAUCAAAGUUGAUUUGCGGAAUGUAUUCGCGAAAAACUGUACCGAUGAAGACUUUAAAUUCUGGUAUCCAUUGCACUGGGAUCAAUCGGAGAUAUCAUGCUGGUUAGGUAGGAAGGAGAUCUAUCGCAGGCGAGCCACAUGGGCGAAUUGUUACACCGGCGUAGAUUACACUCGGCCAAUUCGAACGGUUUUAUGUCAGUGCGAAUCUAACGACUAUCAAUGCGAUUUUGGAUUCAUGCGGGAGGGUAAUCCGUCCAUGUGCAUCCGUAACAAAUCUAUGUUCUGGUACGAUCCUUAUGCCAUACCGAGCACUUGUAAACCCGGCGAGUUUUACAAUCGAACCAAGGGCUAUGUAAAGAUAUCCGACGAUGAGUGUGUCGGUGGUUCAGCAAGAAACUUCGAACCGGACGAGAUCCCGUGUCCCAUAGGCGAAGUAUCGCAAUUCUUAUUGGUAGCCCAACGGGAGCAUAUAUCGCGUAUCGAUUUGGCGGAAGAGAAUCUGGAGAAGUUACCUGUCCACGACUUGAAGAACGUUAUAGCAAUUGAUUUCGAUAUGAAAAACAAUUGCCUGUACUGGGCCGACAUUGUAAAUGACACGAUCGGUAGACAGUGUUUUAAUGGUACGAACGCUCCGGAGAUCUUAGUUGAGACCGAUCUGAGUUCCAUCGAAGGAAUGGCGUUCGACUGGGUCUCCAAUCUCCUAUACUUCGUCGACGGUGUUAAAAUGAGAAUCCAGGUGAUCAGAACAGACAUAUCCAACAUGGGAAGAAUGCGAAGGACUAUCCUUGGGCCUAAUAAUCUUCGGAAGCCGAGGGGCAUAGCAGUCCAUCCGAUGAACGGGUACAUGUUCUGGACUGAUUGGGCGCCAGACAACGCCUCAGUUUCUCGUGCCAAUCUGGACGGGACAGAAGUGAAACGAUUGUUUGUGGAACCGACUGUGGAGUGGCCGAAUGGGAUAACGAUAGAUCACAUAGCUGAGCGUAUCUACUGGGUAGAUGCCCAGCAGGAUUACAUUGGAUCUAGCGACUUCGACGGCAAGAAGUUCAAGAAGGUAAUUUCGAACAACGAGCGGGUGUCACACCCAUUCGCCGUCGCAGUGUUCAAAGACAGCAUGUACUGGGAUGACUGGAAGCAAUCAAUGAUAUUCGUUGCGGACAAAGAUCACGGUCUCGGCAUUUACGCGAUCAUAGGCGAGUUGACUGGUUUGAUGGAUCUGAAGGUAUUCGCGCAUAGUAUCCAACAGGGUACGAAUGCAUGCGCAAACAGCACCUGCCCGUACAUUUGUGUCGGAGCACCGAAGAACGGCUAUUCCUGUCUUUGUCCAGACGGUAUGGAGAUGGUUGACGGCAAGUGUAUGUGUCCGGAAGGUGUCACUCCCAAUCCGAACUUCACGUGUCCACGGGUGGCGAGUACAUGCGCAGCGAAUCAGUUCACCUGCAACAACGACGUGUGCAUUCCGGAGUUCUGGCAUUGUGACGGAGAUAAUGAUUGCGGCGACCGUUCCGACGAGCUCAACUGUCCCCGAAAGUCUUGCUUCCCGAACUUUGAAUGCGAUAACAACACCAAAUGCAUCUCUCCGGCUUGGGUAUGCGACAUAGACAAGGACUGCAGAGACGGUACCGACGAGAUGAACUGCAAGUACUCGACUUGUCCCGAAAAUUUAUUCAAAUGCGAUGGUGGCAGAUGUAUAGUACAGAGAUGGGUGUGUGAUGGUGAAUACGAUUGCCAGGACUUUUCAGACGAGUUGUUCUGCAAGACCGAACCCGGCGAUGUAGCGCGCAACAACACCUGCAGGUCUGACGAAAUGCUUUGCAAACACGAACGCACUUGUAUACCCACAGGCUGGAAAUGUGACGGCGAGGUUGACUGCGAAGAUGGCAUGGACGAGACGGACUGCAGUAGGAUCGUAUGCGAGAAUUGGCAGUUUACUUGUAACCUAUUUCAAGGGAAUCGCAGGUGUAUUUACAAGUCAUUCGUUUGCGACGGCGAUAAGGAUUGCCCGGAUGGCUCCGAUGAAGUUGACUGCGGUAAUUCAAGUCGAACGCCAGCGACAGUGGUCCCGGUGAAUCCGGCGUUACCGACUAGCCCCUGUAACGACUGGAUGUUCAUGUGUGCUAAUAAGAAAUGCGUGCCUUACUGGUGGAAAUGCGACAGCGUAGACGAUUGUGGCGACGACUCCGACGAAUUCGGUUGCGGAAACCCUGAAGAUACGGAUACCACUACAGCGAUCGUGGAUGUCACUGUGCAGCCUAAGGUUUGUAAGGAGAAUCGGUUCCAAUGUAUGAACGGGUUUUGCAUACCGAAUGCUUGGGUCUGUGACGGCACAAACGAUUGCCCUUCAGGAGAAGACGAGCUGCGCUGUGUUGGCGAUAAGGGCAAAUGCAACGAGGGGCAGUUCAAAUGUCGGAUAUCUGGCGGUUGCAUACCUAUAGCAGCCGUUUGUAACGGUGAGAUCGAUUGUCCUGAUGAAACCGAUGAACUGGGCUGCUCCAGCGAACAGCACUCUACACCUGCAACGCCAUCAUGUCAUCCUGGCCUGUUCCCCUGUGACGAGGUCAAUUGUUUCCCGUUGGCCUCUUUCUGCGACGGUAAUCCGGAAUGCUUAGAUGGCUUCGACGAGAAUAACUGCGACAAGAACAACUCGCGUGUUUACCAGGUACUCGUGAUGGGAAUAGACGAACGUUCCACGAAUGCUACCAGCCUCUUCUUGUUCUGGUUGAUACCGGUCCCAGCGAAUGUUACCUUCGAAUUUCUACCGUCUAUCGCGUACGCGGAUCCACCGGGCAACUGGACAAACUCCACCAAGUGGAUCGAGGAGAUGGACUAUCAGUUCAACGAACUGAAACCGUACACGCGUUACAACGUCACGGUCUACGUUAGGGUGAAAGGACAGUCCACGGUGUUCCCUCCAGCUAAAUACUUGAUAGUCAUGACAGGGAAAGGUGUCCCAUCCGAACCGCGAAACCUCACCGUGAAACAAGGCAACGGUACUCGUGUGGAACUGCAUUGGUUACCUCCUUUGCAUCCGAAUGGACCUAUCAUUGGUUACGAGGGUUUCAUGACACCGCCUAAUCCGCCUGUACGGUUCUUCAAGGUAAAAUCGCCAGCGGUGAUCGAUUUGAUGUUCGAGGACGGCAAGAAUUAUUCUUUCUGGGUGAUAGCCAGGAACGGUGAAUACGAGUCGGCUUCCUCAAACGUGGCCACGUUAACUUUCGAUGGAUCCGUGAACAUUGACUAUAUUGAGAAGCUGCUCAUAUUUGCGACCACUAAUCACUCCGUUGAAUUAGGUUGGAAACCGAUUAAGAAUGUUGACGAGUAUCAGGUGAAACCGAGAGCAAGCUAUGGUCUUUCGUAUCCAAAAUUGCCAAUGAUUACGACAACGCAGCACCGAAUAGAGGUAAAGAAUUUGUCACCCGGUGUCAGGUACUUUUUCGAAGUGAAGGCAGUUAGAAAGAACUAUUUUGGAAGAACAUCCACCAUAUCCGCAACCACGCAGGGCACACAGUUGCCAGUGGUUCGCAACCUUACCGCACACUGGGUGAAGCAACAAGAUGCGCCUAUAACUUUAUCGUGGCAACCACCUGAACCCGAGAAGAAGAUCAAGUGGCAGUAUGCUAUUCAUUAUAGCAACAUUUUCGCGACUGUUUUCGAUGAACGCAAACUACUCACAACAAAUCUGACGGUCACGAUCGAAAAUCUGGAAGCUUGUAAACAAUAUUGGUUCGCGGUUGGAGUUAAUGGAGAGUACGGUGUUGGUCCUCUGUGUCCGCCAAUCGGUGUAUUCACGAGUUUCAAUGCACGUGCUCCACCAAAGAGACCAAGAGUGUUGAAAUCAGACAGGGACGACACUAUAAUUAUUGCGUGGACUGCCAGUUGUUACGAUAUCUAUGAACCUAUCAAGUAUACGAUUACUGUAAUCGAGAUGACACGUAACAAGAAUUUUGUUGUAACCUUGCCACCAACGAACGAAACUAUAAUGAAACACACAUUCAGUUCUAUAAGGCACGGCGGCAAGUAUUGCAUCGUAAUAGCUACAGACGUAGAAAACGCUGAGCCAAGUCAGCCGAUUUUCUAUAAUGCACCUGAGAUAUCGCCUCCGCAUCAGCUUCAAGUCAUUUCUGAAGGAUCAGAGUACAUUAUAUUCUGGCAAGAACACAAUCUGCCUGAAAGUCUGACGAACGGAAAAUACCAUUACGAGAUUUUGGUGGCGGAAGGAUCCAACAAGAUAAACGAGUCUAUUGCUAAAGUCAUCAAGGUUGAUCAACCAUCGUACAACUUCAGGGAUGUUAAGCCGAAUGUGAUCUACAGUUUCGCAGUUCGUUUGGUCUCCGAUGAAGGCUAUCAAAGUCCUUUGAGUGAAGUUGUUAGCAUCAGAACUUCUGCUGAUGAAUUGGCGUUGCCGGUGGCAAUAAGUACAUCCAACAUUCUGUCUUUUGCUAUACCCAUCUGUUUGCUCAUUAUUGCUCUGGGAUCCGCGUUGACAUACUUUGUAGUGAGACACAAGAAGCUGUCCAAGAGUUUCACACAAUUUGCCAACAGCCAUUAUGAUACAAGACGCGGGCAAGCGACCUUCCCAGGAACUGCAGACGGUUUGGAAGAGGAAGAUAGCCCCGUGAUUCGAGGCUUUUCCGACGACGAACCGUUGGUGAUAGCGUAAACCCCGAAACACCCAAUGUCCUCAAUUAAAUUCACACACCUACACAGAAACAUAUCACAGAUAAAUCACUGAGACACAUAUAUACGUACAUGAAUAUGAUAUUUACAUGUUAGGAGAAAUGUGCCAAGACACUAUUAUUAAUUGCGGAUAACUUCGAGUAUACAUAUGUAUAGAUAAGACUUGAUCAUAUAAGAGGGAAGCUUUUAUGAAAGUGACUCGAGAUUGAUACACUUCAUUAAUCCUAACAAGUUACAGACUGAUUAGACGGGCUGCUUAGAGCACUUACAUGAAAGCUUUUGCAAAUUACCAACCUCCUUUACGAGUUAUAGAGACCUAAUUCUACACGUUAUCGCUCAGAAUUUCGGAGUGUCUUUCGGACCUUGGAAUGAAAGAUGUUCGAUUUUUUAGUUACAUCUAUAGACAAGUUCCUUCUUUCUUAGCUGUUGGUCUAUUCAUGAGUCAGCAGUACAUAAGUCAUGCCCAGUAAUAAAUCUAUUACCAGACUGCGGAUCUCUAUGCAAAAUUAUAAUUUCUUGGAUGUAAUUUACAAAGACUGACGUUGAAAGAAACUCGCUUCCCUCUGCCAAUGAUAUUAACGCGUUACCAUUGGGGUGCAAACAGCAUUGAAACCAAUUGUAUUUUACAUUUCGUCGUGCGUCUCAGAUUUGCAUUUAACGUUAAACGCAUAAAAAUCUGCAGUCUGUUUCUAUCACUGUAAUCAAACGAAUCGAAUUAUACAGCGGUCGAAGGAUGUUCCAAAUGUUCGAGCCAUAGCGUAAAUGUACAUGAUAUUAAUUAGUAUACGGAAUCAGCUAGGUCUACGUCAUUAAGACGGGCCGAAAUGGUGGAAAGAAGUUGUUGAUAUAUAUAUGUAAAAGUCGUACAAGAAGAGAAUGAGAGAUAGAGAGAGAAAGGUAGAGAGAAAGCAUGUACAUAUAGUAAAUAUUUUGUACCGAAUUGCGGAGACUAGUAGCAUUUUUCAAGAUGCCAUGCAUACAAUGACGCUCACACGGGUUUGUAUAAUAGGAUGAGGUUUAAUCAUUUGGCAAAGAUUCUUUCAUUGUCAAUGCGUUGGGGUGUUGCUCGAAUGGCAGCCGGAUCAGUCGAAAAUCGGUUUUUACGUAUUUUUACAGAGAGGAGACAAAGAGAAACAUUCUCCUGUCCAAAGUUAACGAAAGCAUUUUAUAUAACUCUGCCUCUUCUAAUUGUUUUGUAAUAAAUCUUUUUUACGGAAAUAUAACGAACACGUAUGUAUACACGUGGACACAGGCUGACGAGAGCUUAUCUCUAUACUUUUAGGAAGGGUGCAGAAGACUCCGCGUGAUCGCGAUGAAAGUUCCGUUAGUUUAAACCGUUCCAACGUGAUCCACGACGAUCCGAGAUCGCGUUUGGUGCAGCUAACGAUAAGCGAAACGGAACACCAGUCUCUUGUAAAGAAAGAAUGCGUAUGUGCAUGUGCGUGAGUGCGUGAGUGCGCGUGAGAGAAAGGGAGAAAGAGAAAGAAAUUGUAUAUUUAAGCGCGACGUUGUUCGUGCAGUUCCAUUCUGGAACCUGUACGUUGGUUCAUGGUUUUCAUUGGGAAGGAACGGUGUCUUGGAUUUUAUUGCACAGGGUAUUUCGUGGACGGGGCAAGGGGAGGUUCGUUGAGCAGCGUUAACCCUUUGCAAUAUGAUUGCUUUCUUAGUGUCUUCUCGGUCAACUCUGAUUUCAUUUUUCUGGUUUUGAUGCCUUACGUUGGAUAUGAAGAAAUUGGUCGCAGCUAUUUUAAGUUUCAACUAUGACAUGAAUAUUAUUUUAUGUAGAAUAUUAUGAAUAUUGUUAUUUCAGUUAGUGAUAUUAUUAUUUCAAUUAAAUAAUAUUUGUUAGUGAUACUAUUACCUCGAUUAAAUAAUAUUUAAUCUGUUUGUUAACCGUAUGAAGUGUGUCAUGUCAGAGGUGACUCAAGAAUUCUUGGGAAAAGUUGCGUUGCUAAACCAGUGGUGACUACGUAGUGCAAAGGGUUAAUCAAGGUUCGUUCUACGCCGUGUCUGUCUGUUCAACUGAAACGCAUUUAAUCUGGAAAGUCUUUUCGGAAUUCGAUUUUAAGGAAACAACAUUAUCGUUGAAAACAAACGAUCAUUUUUUAAUCGUUAACGCUCGCGUCGGAUUCCUUCAGUUUCAAAUCAAUCGAUCGAUAGACUCUUAUAGCUCACCAGUGUUACGGAUAUCACGGCACAGUUGUUCGCAAGAAUCUUUCUGUAAAUAAAUAAGGAAACUAGAAAUCAUCGGCAGAUACACAUACAUAUACAUAUGUAUUACGCGUUGAUAGAAGCCAUCUGAAAGGAGUGCAGCUCUAAUUGGUCAGAGUGAAAGGAGGCACGCCCCCUCUUGCAGUUUUGACAGUAACAUGUUAUUCGUCAAUACAAUCACACGCCAAUUAACACGUUGAAUGUUCUGGUGUUCUGGUCAUUGCCUCAAUCAAAUAAAAUUACUGUAAUCCGUUGGACUAAAGGAUAACUGUUCAGAAACUUUUCGAAGCUUCACUCGUGAUCCAAUUAACACGUUCGCGACCACGGCCAAAUUUGAACUAUAAUUCAUAGAAUUUUUACACAUUUAAUGCAUAGUGAUUAAACUGUAUAAUAUUUUCACAAUUCAAAUAGUUUCACAUAUUAUAUCAGACGCUAAAUAUAUGAUAAGAUCGCAAUGGCAACGGUAAUUAACUGAAUUCUUUAAACGAAUCGCUGCCUCACAAAAGUACUUAUUUACGCGACGCGUGCUCGUGAACGUGUUAAAAUAGUGAAUUGAGUGCGAAUCAACUUAAUUUAAAAAUGAAAAAGAAAAAGGAACGAUGCAACGUAAAGCAGUUGAGUAGCUCAAUCUGAUAAUCCGAUAUUAUAAUUUCCAAUUCAACGUGUUAAUUUCGCGACGUUUCCGUUCUUCUGUUUCUCAUUGUUUCUUCCAUUGAUGUUUCCUUGUUUCUUCGCGUUCGUUUUUUCUUCUGAUCGCUGUGUGCGCUGAAUGUUCCGAGAUUAAAGCGUCGUUGGGAUAUUACCGGUGGAGAUCGAUCCAAGCAUUGUCAACACGAUGAUUAUUAGACGAGAGAAACGCAGAAGAGGAUGGGAGAGACGGUGGAAACGUCUGGCUCGGACAACUUCGAUGGGGUCGCGUUGACGAGGGCGACGAGUUUACGGGAGCAUAGUUUGUGUCGGCACUGUCGCAGGGAAUUUCCUAAGGAAUUCGAGUCGAAUACCCGUCACUUCAACGUUCAACGAUCACGUUCGAUGAAUUUAUUUACGCGAAAAACCUCUUCAGCGUUUUACCAUUUACGAAGAGAAGAGUGAAGACAUUUUUGUAAAAAAUAAAAUGGUCAUCGACGCGCGGGAUACGGGCUGACUGUCAGUUAACACGUUAAAUGCCAUGUCAGUCACUGAUGACUGACGCUUCUGAAUUACUUGAAAACAAUUUAACACGUUCGCUAGCAGCGCU